UCAUAACGAACGCUGGCGGCGUGGAUAAGGCAUGCAAGUCGAACGACGACCCUGAAACAAUUCUUCGGAAAAGCGGAAGGGAUACGGAGUGGCGAAAGGGUGAGUAACACGUGAGCAAUCUGCCCUUAUGCUGGGGAUAACGCAGGGAAACCUGUGCUAAUACCGAAUGUGGCUUAAGUCAACCUUGACUUAAAGCUGAAGGUGGGGAUCUUCGGACCUGCCGCAUAAGGAUGAGCUCGCGCACUAUUAGCUAGUUGGUGCGGUAAUGGCGCACCAAGGCUUUGAUGGUUAGCUGGCCUGAGAGGAUGGUCAGCCACACUGGGACUGAGACACUGCCCAGACUCCUACGGGAGGCUGCAGUCGAGAAUCAUUCGCAAUGCGCGAAAGCGUGACGAUGCGACGCCGCGUGGAGGAUGAAGGCCUUCGGGUUGUAAACUCCUGUCACCAGGUAAUAAAGCACAGUUGAUUAAGAGUUGAUUGUGUUGAGCAAACCUGGGGAGGAAGCCACGGCUAACUCCGUGCCAGCAGCCGCGGUAAUACGGGGGUGGCGAGCGUUGUUCGGAUUUACUGGGCGUAAAGGGUCCGUAGGGGGUUGCUUAAGUCGGGUGUGAAAGAUUCAGGCUCAACCUGAAAAGUGCACUCGAAACUGAGCGACUAGAGUACAAGAGAGGAAAGUG
rnacentral:rRNA from 1 species